rnacentral:SRP_RNA from 1 species
UUCUGGUUCCCUCGCAACGAUAAACCGUGAACCCCGCCAGGCCCGGAAGGGAGCAACGGUAGCGGUGAUCUCGUGUGCCGUGGUGUAGCUGGGAUGG